CGGAUAUGGCGAAAUUGGUAGACGCGCCAGACUUAGGAUCUGGUGCCGCAAGGCGUGUGGGUUCGAGUCCCUUUAUCCGC
rnacentral:tRNA from 1 species